GGAGGGAUGGCCGAGUGGCUGAAGGCGGCGGUCUUGAAAACCGUUUUCCGGAGACGGAACGUGGGUUCGAAUCCUACUCCCUCCG
rnacentral:tRNA from 1 species